rnacentral:rRNA from 1 species
UACAGAGGGGGCAAGCGUUGUUCGGAAUUACUGGGCGUAAAGGGCGCGUAGGCGGCCUUCUAAGUCGAACGUGAAAUCCCCGGGCUCAACCCGGGAACUGCGUCCGAUACUGGAAGGCUUGAAUCCGGGAGAGGGAUGCAGAAUUCCAGGUGUAGCGGUGAAAUGCGUAGAUAUCUGGAGGAACACCGGUGGCGAAGGCGGCAUCCUGGACCGGUAUUGACGCUGAUGCGCGAAAGCCAGGGGAGCAAACGGG